UCGCGGCUUAUCACCGGCAGUCCCCUUAGAGUGCCCAACCAAAUGAUGGCAACUAAGGGCGAGGGUUGCGCUCGUUGCGGGACCUAACCCAACACCUCACGGCGCGAGCUGACGACAGCCAUGCACCACCUGUGAAAGUGCCCCGAAGGGAGACCGUGUUUCCACGGUUGUCACUCACAUGUCAAGCCCAGGUAAGGUUCUUCGCGUUGCGUCGAAUUAAACCACAUGCUCCACCGCUUGUGCGGGUCCCCGUCAAUUCCUUUGAGUUUCAGUCUUGCGACCGUACUCCCCAGGCGGAAUGCUUAAAGCGUUAGCGACGGCACCCGGGGACUAUAUAACCCCAGACACCAAGCAUUCAUCGUCUAAGGCUAGGACUAC
rnacentral:misc_RNA from 1 species